UACGGGGGGGGCAAGCGUUGUUCGGAAUUACUGGGCGUAAAGGGUGCGUAGGCGGUCCGCUAAGUUAGAUGUGAAAACUCUGGGCUCAACCCAGAGCCUGCAUCUAAUACUGACGGGCUAGAGUUCUGGAGGGGGUAGCGGAAUUCCUGGUGUAGCGGUGAAAUUCGUAGAUAUUGGGAAGAAUACCAGAGGCGAAGGCGGCUACCUGGACAAUUGCUGACGCUCAGGCACGAAAGCGUGGGGAGCAAAAGGG
rnacentral:rRNA from 1 species